UGUGUCCAGAGGCCAGCCAGGUGCCCAGGGCUGGUCUCAGGCUCCUUGAGGGCAAAGUCCAUGACUCACUCAUCCUCCUUGGACACCAACCUCCUCAGUACAGUAUUCAAGAUCACUGGCUGAAUGGUACAGAGCUGAACUCUGACCCUCUAGGGGCUGUCAGGACCUAGGGCCAGAGCACUGGCUUAGGGUGGAAGGCGAUGGCUUCUCCAGAGCUUCUGAUGGCUCUUGGAGACCAGGUCCCAACUCCCGAGCGAGGUAGAACCAGCUCUCUCCAACUGGCACCUUGAUCUCCACUGACAUGUAGGCUUUUUCCACAGGCCCUGGGCCUGUGUGCAUCUUGCCUAGUCUGGAAACUGCUGUCACUCCUCCCAAGCCUCCAGGACACCUGCCUGGUUGCCCUGGUGCCCCGCUCACUGGCUCCCAGGAUGCUCUGUGGCCUUUCUUAGGCCCCCAUUACACAUCUUAAAUACACUCCAUCACCAAUGCCUGGCUGUUUCUCCCCAGCCUGUGAACCACUGACUUUUUGCUUCCUGUAGCCUCGGGGACUGGCACAGAGUAGGUCCUUAAUAACACAUGCUGAAGGACUGACCGACCGUAUGUGAGAAGGUGUUCGUGGGGAGGGAGACAUCAGAUGUUUGGAGGCCCUCAGUCAAUGCCCACCAUCAUCUUCAUCACCGUCACCUUUACAGAACACAAUGCCGACUGAAGAGGUGUCCUGAGAAUAUGUGCAAAUUAACCAUUUUCCAAUCUCCAAGAAAGGUGGGUGGCGAGAAGAGGAUCAGAGUUGGGCAGCCGUGAUAGGGAAAGUCUCCCUGAAGGAGCUGAAUUUGAAUUAAGCUUUCGCAGAGGUGAAGCUCAGCGACAGGUCGUGAGCACAGGAGAAGGAAGGAAUAACAAGGACAAAUGCACGGAAAGGGGGCGAGGCCUGGGGCAGGUGGGCUGUUCCCUCCCGCCUCGUAGCGUCCUCUUCGGCAAGUCUUGCUCCCUGUAGCCACCACCAGGGGGCGCGCCAGACCGCAUUCCUCCGAGCUGGGCGGGGCCUCUCCCCACGGACUCCUCCCCAGCCCGCGGGGAUGUCCGCACUCUACAGCGUCCACCUGGCACAAAGUGGGGUUCCUGAUGGGACUUUUACAGCUGUUAUGUGUGUGUAAAACAUAAAACAUAAAUGUACAGUGAAUGCUUGUGUAAUUAUGAGACCCUGUGUAACUAUUACUCAAG